GAUGAACGCUGGCGGCGUGCUUAACACAUGCAAGUCGAACGGUGAAGCAGGAGCUUGCUCUUGUGGAUCAGUGGCGAACGGGUGAGUAACACGUGAGCAACCUGCCCCUGACUCUGGGAUAAGCGCUGGAAACGGCGUCUAAUACUGGAUAUGUGAUGUGACCGCAUGGUCUGCAUCUGGAAAGAAUUUCGGUUGGGGAUGGGCUCGCGGCCUAUCAGCUUGCUGGUGAGGUAAUGGCUCACCAAGGCGUCGACGGGUAGCCGGCCUGAGAGGGUGACCGGCCACACUGGGACUGAGGCACGGCCCAGACUCCUACUGGAGGCAGCAGUGGGGAAUAUUGCACAAUGGGCGGAAGCCUGAUGCAGCAACGCCGCGUGAGGGAUGACGGCCUUCGGGUUGUAAACCUCUUUUAGCAGGGAAGAAGCGAAAGUGACGGUACCUGCAGAAAAAGCACCGGCUAACUACGUGCCAGCAGCCGCCGCCG
rnacentral:rRNA from 1 species